rnacentral:rRNA from 1 species
ACGGGAGGCAGCAGUGAGGAAUAUUGGUCAAUGGGCGUAAGCCUGAACCAGCCAAGUAGCGUGAAGGAUGACGGCCCUACGGGUUGUAAACUUCUUUUGCCGGGGGAUAAAACGCGCCACGUGUGGCGCCUUGCAGGUACCCGUGCGAAUAAGGACCGGCUAAUUCCGUGCCAGCAGCCGCGGUAAUACGGAAGGUCCGAGCGUUAUCCGGAUUUAUUGGGUUUAAAGGGAGCGUAGGUGGAAAUGUAAGUCAGCCGUCAAAUCGCGGAUCUCAACUCCGUCCAGCGGUUGAAACUGCGUUUCUUGAGUGCGCAAGAGGCAGGUGGAAUUCGAGGUGUAGCGGUGAAAUGCUUAGAUAUCUCGAAGAACUCCGAUUGCGAAGGCAGCUUGCUGGGGCGCAACUGACGCUGAGGCUCGAAGGUGCGGGUAUCAAACAGGAUUAGAUACCCUGGUA